CAGUAGCCGCGGUAAUACGAGGGGUGCAAGCGUUAUUCGGAUUGAUUGGGUGUAAAGGGUGUGCAGACGGCUUAUUAAGUCACUUGUUAAAUUCUUCGGCCUAACUGAAGGUCUGCAAGUGAUACUGAUGAGCUAGAGGGUGGAAGAGAGAAGUGGAAUUCUCGGAGUAGCGGUAAAAUGCGUAGAUCUCGAGAGGAACACCAAUGGCGAAGGCAGCCUCUUGGUCCAUUCCUGACGUUCAUACACGAAAGCGUGGGGAGCAAACAGGAUUAGAUACCCCCGUAGUCCCUGUCUCUUAUAC
rnacentral:rRNA from 1 species